GAGUGUUGUGGGGGGCCAGCGGGCGAGAGCGCUGCGGGGGGAUUCCACAGGCUUAGUGCACAACUGCACAGAUGCUCUGUGCGGGGUCAGCUAGUAUCAUAUGUAAAUUGUAGGGUCUGCCAUGUAAACCAAUGGAGAAUCUCUCCCCACCACUCCAUAAUGCAGGAAACAUGUUCUUCUCUUUGCCCUUUUGUAUUUGAAUUCAUUUCCUCACCUUUUGCAUACACCGCCAGAUACUGUCUAGUGUGAUAAGAAAACCUGUUAAAUAGGAGACCUUCCUUUGUUGUUUUCCUUUGCCAUGAAUGUGUGAUUUAAAAAAAACCCCUCAAUCCUCCCUUAAGGAAACAAGUGUCAGAUAGACCUUUUGAAAUGACAUUAUAUUCUGAAACAGAUGCUGAGUCACCAUUGGUGCUCAGAGCUUUUAGUAUUACACCCUCUGCAAAGCCCUUUGUCAAAAUCCAGGAGCCCUUCUUCUGCCUUGGUGGCCGUGUCUGCUGGGGAGCUCGUCAAAAAGCUUCCCUGCAAAUCUGCCAGGAGAAUGCCAUGACAAUUAAGACACUGAUUUCCAAACGCGUGCCAUCAGCUCGAGCACUCUGCGCAGAGGAACAGGCAACUUGUAAAUGUCACUGCCAAAACCCAGGCAUUUAUUAGUUUAAAGCUGACACACUUUCGCUUCCCAAUAAGUAGCAAGAAAAUGUUUUUCCCUAUCGCUGAAGACAUUUAGAACUGCGGUAGAUUGGACAAAGUGCUAUAAAAAGCAAUUUCCUUAAGUGGCUCAUCUUGCUGCAUAUUCAUGGGGAUAGGCAAAAUGAACUCCUUAGAUGCAAGUCUUUGGCUGCCUUUGGACGUACCUUGAAACUGCAGGUUCAAUAAACCUGCAGUUUGCAUCUGUUCCCCUGGUGGUCCCAGAUGAUUGCCAUUUGCAGUCUGGGAGACUGGGAGAACCGGCUGCAUAGGUUCAACACAAGAAGGUCAGCCAUGACAGCCAAUUGCUCUGGAAAGAGGGAGGAGCUUCCUCCCCUUAACUCUGGUUUGUGCAAGCUGCACAAACCAGACAUCACAUUGGAGUUAAGGGUUCCUCGGUUUGAUUGACGUAUUGAAGAAGAAAGAAAGAAAAAACUCCUGAAAAGGAAAAGCUGGAAUAUUGAUGCACUGCACACGUACGUUCCUGCUUACAUUCCAUAAGCAUUCAGGCUGGAUCUAAACAUGUAACAGAAUGAGGGGGAAGAAUCCUGAGAAUGGAUCCCAUGAAACGGAUUGCCAGAAAAUUUAGGUCUGACAAAAGAAAGUACUUUUUCACACAGAGCAUAAUUAAUCUUUGGAACUCUCUGCCAUAGGAUGUGGUGCUGGCCACUAGCUUGGAUGACUUUAAAAGGGGCUUAGACAAAUUCAUGGAGGACAGGUCUAACCAUGGCUGCUAGUCUGAUGUCUAUAGGCCACCUCCAGGCUCAGAGGCAUCUUGCCUGAAUACCAGUUGCAGAGGAGCAUCAGGAGGAGAGAAGGCAUGCCUUUAUCUUCUGCUUGUUGGAUUCCCAGAGGCAUCUGGUGGGCUGGACUUGCUCCAGCAGGACUGUUCUUAUGUUAUGUUAGUAAAGUAAAGGUAAAGUGUGCCAUCGAGUCAGUGUCAACUCCUGGUGACCACAGAGCCCUGUGGUUGUCUUUGGUAGAAUACUGUAGGGUUUUCCAUUGCCAUCUCCCACACAGUAUGAGAUGAUGCCUUUCAGCACCUUCAUAUAUCACCGCUGUCUGAUGAGAAACACCAUAGCCUGGGAAACAUACCAAUGGGGAUUCGAACCAGCAACCUCUGGCUUGCUAGUCAAUUCAUUUCCCCGCUGCACCAUUAGGUGGCUGAUGUUAUGUUAGUACUCCUCUUUUUUAAACCCCAUGAUAUAACUCCAGAAUGGCUGGCCAGAAAGCUCUCAAAAUUCAUAUGGUAGAAACACAUCUAAAUAGCAUUGGUUGUGUUUAACUUGGAGAAUUGGUCCAGCCAUCAAUUUGUUACUCAUGGCAGAACAUGUAGUAGUAUCAGAGAAUCCACUCUGUGUGCAGUUUCAGACCUUUCUCUCAUGGAAGGACACCUGCAGAUCCUUGAGAGACAGGAUUGCAGGAAGCUUGAAUUCUCUUCUGGAGUUUGGGGUGAGUUCAAGGGGGAAGGAAACCAGGGCUUUUGGCUUCUGGAAAUUUAGUCUAGGAAAUUUAGUCUAACCGUUUGCUAGUUAGUUUGCAUCAGAAACUUAUUUUUGCUUUUGUGUGCCUUGCAUAUCCUUACAACUGUUCUAUGGUGUUUUAUCUGUAAUGCAACUAAACUAAAAACGCUUAGCCUGCACAUGGGCAUUGCAAAAGUCUCUAUAAACUCUUAAAGGUGCUUUUUGUAUAUUCUUACAUCUAUGUACUUUGCAACUGGGUAAGCAUGAUUUUUAAAGUGUGCCACCCCAAUAUCAUCUGAGCGUGCUUUUUGAAGUAUUCUUGCAGCUACUGAGUGUUCCUUUUAUCUGUAACUAAAAGCUGGGAAAGCCUCAGACAGAAACAGUCUGUAGUAUUUUGAAUAAAGUUUCUUUUUUCUUUUUUUGUUCUUUGCAAUUUAAACUAGCCUCUUUGAGUGGAUUUUUAACUCAGGGAGGUGGGGGCUGGAAAUGUACUCUGGUGCAAAUAUGCCUCAAUUUGAUUGUUCAGCAACUCUACCAAGUUUUCUCAUCAUGUGUAGGCUUGCAUGUGGUGGUUUUUGUGUACUUUUACAAUAGUAAAGAGAAAGAGAGUUUCCCUGGAAAUUUACCCAAGCCAGGGGGGAAUAAGGUCUUGAUAAGUGGGUGUGGUGGCAAUGUAUUAUCUACUAGGAGAGUUUUGAGGAGCAGUCUUUGUGGGUGAAAACAAGAGAGAUGAUGAUUCAGCAUUUUUUCUUCCCCUCACGUGGGCUUCCUUUGAGACAAAGCCUGGGUUAAAUCCACCCACUGCAACAAGUUACUGUAUAUAGUUAGCAAGCAGGACUUGCUUUGGGGUCUUUACUACCCAUCCAGUUCAAGCAAGCCACAAGCCACCUAAUGGCACAGUGGGGAAAUGACUUGCCUAGGGAGCAAGAGGUUGCUGGUUCAAAUCCCUGCUGGUAUGUUUCCCAGACUAUGGGAAACACCUAUAUUGGGCAGCAGCAAGACAGGAAGAUGCUGAAAGGCUCCAUCUCAUACUGCACAGGAGAUGGCAAUGGUGAACCCCUCCUGUUUUCUACCAAAGAAAACCACAUGGCUCUGUGGUCGCCAGGUGUCGACACAGAACAGAGAAUACUCGGUAGAUGAACCAAUUAUCUGAUUCAUUGUGAAGUUGUUUCAUGUGUCCAUUAUCUAUUGUCAUGUACAAUUUUAAAAACAGCCCCCCUGUUUAAUUUGAAUCCUGAUUCCUGCAACAUUUCCCUGCAUUGAAUCUUGCUAUUAUUGAAUGUCUAGUUCCACUUUCACUUAAGAAUAGAAUUGGCAGCUUUUCACAUCUCUGUAGAUUUGCAUACAAUAGUUUUGAGGGGUGUGUGUGUGUUGUUUUUAGAGAUACCUUCUUAGAAGAGGCCUUCCCUUCUGUGUAAAGGAGGGAUAUCUAAGAUGGUUCCUGUAUUUAACCUUUUUAAAAAAUGCAUUUCCUGAGUAAUCUGGGAUGCUUCUCCUAGGCUAUUAAAAGGAGCUUUAAUGUAUUAGUCUAACUAGUAAAUUGAAUAAAGGCUGCAGCUCUACUAAGA